rfam:Gossypium hirsutum cultivar TM-1 chromosome 6, whole genome shotgun sequence
AAUAGGAUAAUGGCAAAUCAGAUUCUUCCUUCUGAUUUAAGUUUUUCCUCUUGAAAAAAAUUCAAAUCCAACUGAAAUUGUUAAAAAUCAGAAAGAAAAAUCUAAUUUGUCAUUCUCCUAUU